GAUGAACGCUGGCGGCGUGCUUAACACAUGCAAGUCGAACGAAGCACCUUGAUUCGAUUCUUCGGAUGAAGAUCUUGGUGACUGAGUGGCGGACGGGUGAGUAACGCGUGGGUAACCUGCCUCAUACAGGGGGAUAACAGUUAGAAAUGACUGCUAAUACCGCAUAAGACCACAGCACCGCAUGGUGCAGGGGUAAAAACUCCGGUGGUAUGAGCUGGACCCGCGUCUGAUUAGGUAGUUGGUGGGGUACCGGCCUACCAAGCCGACGAUCAGUAGCCGACCUGAGAGGGUGACCGGCCACAUUGGGACUGAGACACGGCCCAAACGCCUACGGGAGGCAGCAGUGGGGAAUAUUGCACAAUGGGGGAAACCCUGAUGCAGCGACGCCGCGUGAGCGAUGAAGUAGUUCGGUAUGUAAAGCUCUAUCAGCAGGGAAGAAAAUGACGGUACCUAACUAAGAAGCACCGGCUAAAUACGUG
rnacentral:rRNA from 1 species